CUGUGCAGAUGUGGCAGUAACCAUGACAUCACUGAGAAGGCAAUUCUCUUUCUGAUGCACUGACUGAAAAACCAGGACACACCGUGCACACCCCCUCCCACAGUCGUGGGGGGUUGUUCUUGCACGCAGCCUGAAAAGACCGUCCUGAAGAUUUUUCUGUGUGCUGAAGUUUCACCCAAAGGGAACAAGUGGGCCACACUAGCCACGUACAGCAACAUCCCAUUUGGUGAAGUUUGGACACCGCAAAACCCUUUGGAACCCUGAUCCUCUCCUGACUGUAAAAUGGUAUAUGUG